rnacentral:lncRNA from 1 species
UUGGUGAAGAGAUCGAAUGCUAGGCACCGGCUUAAAAGACAGUCUGUUGUCACGGUGAAUCGUUUCCGCAUAUCGGAAUAUUCUUCUCUUACAAUGUGACCUCGGUUGUGUUAGAAAUGAAUUCGCGUAUUCAUAGAGAUCUUUUGCUGUCCUUAUCUGAGUCUGUCCGCGUAAAAUGGCACAGUCGGCUUGUCUCUUAAUAAUUCCUCCAGCAGCGUCUUGUGGUCCUGAAAUGCACAGAUAAGUUUUUUUAUGUCAACUGCAUGACAUUGGACCUUACCAUUUUACCGCGUUCAAGGUUUAUGAUUUUUAUAAUAGUAACAAUACCGAAAGUCACGAGAAAUAUAAGAGAUACAUUCAAUACC